rnacentral:rRNA from 1 species
AUUGAACGCUGGCGGCAGGCCUAACACAUGCAAGUCGAACGAGUGGCGGACGGGUGAGUAAUGUCUGGGAAACUGCCUGAUGGAGGGGGAUAACUACUGGAAACGGUAGCUAAUACCGCAUACCCUCAGAUGUGCCCAGCUGGGCUUAGCUAGUGGGUGGGGUAACGGCUCACCAAGGCGACGAUCCCUAGCUGGGCUGAGAGGAUGACCAGCCACACGGGAACUGAGACACGGUCCAGACUCCUACGGGAGGCAGCAGUGGGGAAUAUUGCACAAUGGGCGAAAGCCUGAUGCAGACAUGCGGCGUGUAUGAAGAAGGCCUUCGGGUUGUAAAGUACUUUCAGCGGGGAGGCGGUACCCGAAGAAGAAGCACCGGCGAACUCCGUGCCAGCAGCCGCGGUAAUUC